UCGCAGUUGCAGGUGGCAACGGAGAGGAACCGGUGGUGGCGUCUCCCGAGCCUGCUGCCGCUGCCUGGACCCAAAAGCUAAUUCUGGCACUUGAAGAUGAUAUGGGAGCGACUUAUGUCUGCAUUGUGAAAUUGGUGUUCUAAAUGAAUUACAAAAAUGCAGGAUGAGGCAGUACAUAGUACUCUUGGCAUAUAGGAGAAUUUCAAUGUGUUAAAUAGAAGACAUCUUUGUUGUGUUGCUUUCUGAUGCCAUGCUAAUCAAUAUGUUGGAAGUUAUCAAGAAGUUCAUGAGAAAGCCAGUUUCAAAUUCUGAAGAAAAACGAAGAGGCAACUCUUGGACAUGUGGUAACAGAAGGAAAAAGAUGCUAUCAGGAGACAAUUCAAAUAAGGGAAAAACUAUUUUGAUUGCUCCUGACUUGCUGG